UUGCCAUGGUUACCGUCAUGUAAUUUUUAGUGACGCUACGAUAUUAUUUGCUUACGGCAGUGAUAUUUGUUUUCGUGUUAUUGUUGGAAAUAUUUGCAUUUCUUCUGUCUAAAAGCAUGGCGUUAUAUGAAGUGUUUUCACAUUCUGUUAAGAUUAAACACAAAACUACUCUCUGUUCAAAGACUUCUCUCUUUUAUAUUUUGGCAACUGCACUGCAAUUUAUAUUUCCUAUACUUGUUGCCUAUUAUACUCAAGGUUUUUUAAAGAGGACAGGAACCUAUAGAGAGCAACCUGAUGUUUCUUUCAAACAUAAAAUGCUUCUUAUCUUAGAAACAAAAUUUCCAGAGCAAUUAAUUUUCUGGAGUAGUUACAAGAAAUUAAACCAAAUGAUGAGCAGCAGGACAUUGCAGCUAAUACCAGAGAUUGAACAUAGAGAAGUUGAUGCCAAUAGGGAUGGGAAAAAGGAUGAAAUUCAGAUGUCCAUUGAUAUUCCACUAACAGAUCAAGAAAUUUAUUCAGUCAAACUUAUUCUUAUUUUUGAUUAUAAACUUUAUCUUUAUUCUUAUUUCCAAAUGGAAUGUGCUGCUUUUAUAUACUGCAGUUCGGCAUUACCAGGUUCAGCAUUGAGUGUUGUUGGUGAUCUAAUGUUCAUACAAAAGCAACCUUUAAAACACACAGGGGAAGAUGAAAGAUAUAAUAUUCCCGUUAUUGAUGACAAAAAGGACGAUUUCUCCUCCACCAAUUUAAAAAAUAUUUUCUUAGAAUAUUCUAGACGCAAUGCAUUAGCCUUUAACCUCUUAGGUUGUACAGCCCUUAUCGCCCAAAACGAAUUAUCCUGGGAGAUUUCUAUAUUAAGGCACUGGUGAAAUUUCCACUGAAGAGGUUAAGUGCUUGAUAUAAUUUAUCACAGCUAUACUUCAAAAUGUAUAUCCUGAUUGGAUAGCUGGAAGAGCAACGAAUCAGUCUUUUAAAAUCAAUCUUGUGAUUAAUUAUCCCGAGCAGACAAUCUUAUAUAAGGUUGGAUUCUGGGAGCUUUUCAAAUGGG
rnacentral:misc_RNA from 1 species